AAUCUUUCAGGUUUUCUGUGUGAAAAUAGUAUAAACUAUCCAUUUUUUGAGCUAUAUUUUCUCAUUCAAACUCUUCUCGCAUGUAAUGGUUGUCAUAAAAUGUAAUGCAUCUCCACAGAUACCCGGAACUGACCAAUUUGCUAAAGUAAUCGAUUUUCUACGUUGGCACUGCACUCGGAUACCUUGUUGGUGUAUGUCAACAGCGCCUUCUCACCGAACGCAGAUGAAUUGGUGAUUGACCUAUUUAAUAAUUUUGGUUUUGAUGGUAAACUGGUGGUUAAUUAUGCCUGUUCUAUGGCAUGGGGCUAAGUCUUGAGACUAUGGGAUCUGCUGAGAGUCUGAUAUAAAAGCUGUCAGCAAUCUUUAUCUCUGAAACAAGGGUUCUUCUGUAGCGGAUACUACUUUCACACAAGGAAGGCAAUAUUAUUGAUGGUAUUCAAAAUCAGCUUAUGUUAAUGGUUCAACUCAUUAUCGUUGGUUUGUAAUUCAAGCCAAAGGGUUUCUGUUUGUAAUUUUAUUUAAUAUUUAUCUAUUGCUAGCUUAUCUUGGUUUCAGGAAAA